UCUUUGUCUUCAGAGGCGGGUUUGAACAGGAUGUGGAGAACGGCUACCAUCAGCACCCCGAUACCUGCCACGAUGUCUUGGCAACCACUCGCAAGCAGAACACAGCACUGGAUUCAGCGUAUGGGAAGACCACACCCACAAGCGCCAGCACAACCUAUCAUGGGGCGGCAUUCCCAAAGGAGGCAGGUGACCCUGAAAGAGGUACAGGUCCUGAUCGCCCUCCCCCUGUUGGGGAACAAGGGUCACCUGACUCGGAGCCAAUCAGUGUGGAGAUG